UACGGAGGGUGCGAGCGUUGUCCGGAAUCACUGGGCGUAAAGGGCGCGUAGGCGGUGGGGUAAGCGUGUGGUGAAAGUCCGGGGCUCAACCCCGGAUCGGCCGUGCGAACUGCUUCACUUGAGCACUGUAGAGGGAGAUGGAAUUCCGGGUGUAGCGGUGGAAUGCGUAGAGAUCCGGAGGAACACCGGUGGCGAAGGCGGCCUGCUGGGCAGUGGCUGACGCUGAGGCGCGACAGCGUGGGGAGCAAACAGG
rnacentral:rRNA from 1 species